GGUGAGGAAGGACCCUUGCGCACACUCCACCGCGAUUUACUGCUCCCUUGCGGCUUUCUAUCUGAAGAGGAUGAGGAAAUGGAAAAGCCAAAGCAUGCCUCAAAACCCAAAACAAGACAAAUUUCCGUCUCUCCAGAGGAAAAUACCCUUGAUUUUGACAGUGAUGAUGACUAUAUUCAGAGCUAUUACCCCACAACAAUCAGGACAACCACAAGGGUUAUUCAACCAAACAAUGUGAACUCCAACACGCAUGAUACCCAGGAGAAUCUCUCCAAUGUUGAGGAAUCUGAAAACUUACCUAUGGACUUACCUUCCGAAAUCCUGGACCAACCUGUGGAAAAACGGAGGACAAACCAAAAUGGAAACUUAGUGGAAGUGACACAAAAUGAACUGAAACCUGGAAAUGAACAAGGGAGUGGACUUACCGAAAUGGAACAUGACCUACUGGACAAUUACUCUCAUACCGAAACUCCUGAGAAAGUCGAACAGUCCAAAGAUAUUGAACAGAGACAAUCUUCUGAAAUGGACAAAGCUGAACAAGAUGCCAGUUCUUUUGAGCUAGCAGAUCCUGAUGCUCCAAACAACCAGACUGCUGACCAAAUACGCAGAUCUGAACGGUUGAGAAAGCCACCUGUUAAGUUUACUUAUCCACAGCUUGGUAAACCUUUGAUUUCAUUUGCACAAACUAUAUUAGAUGGGUUUAACAAAGUUUUGGUUGAAACAUUUGAAGGUGCUCCUGUCCUUGCGAAAGUCGAACAGUCCAAAGAUAUUGAACAGAGACAAUCUCUGAAAUGGACAAAGCUGAACAAGAUGCCAGUCUUUUGAGCUAGCAGAUCCUGAUGCUCCAAACAACCAGACUGCUGACCAAAUACGCAGAUCUGAACGGUUGAGAAAGCCACCUGUUAAGUUUACUUAUCCACAGCUUGGUAAACCUUUGAUUUCAUUUGCACAAACUAUAUUAGAUGGGUUUAACAAAGUUUUGGUUGAAACAUUUGAAGGUGCU
rnacentral:lncRNA from 1 species